AGUCGAACGGCAGCACGGGGCAACCUGGUGGCGAGUGGCGAACGGGUGAGUAAUAUAUCGGAACGUACCCAGAAGUGGGGGAUAACGUAGCGAAAGUUACGCUAAUACCGCAUACGAUCUACGGAUGAAAGUGGGGGACCUUCGGGCCUUAUGCUUUUGGAGCGGCCGAUAUCUGAUUAGCUAGUUGGUGAGGUAAAGGCUCACCAAGGCGACGAUCAGUAGCUGGUCUGAGAGGACGACCAGCCACACUGGGACUGAGACACGGCCCAGACUCCUACGGGAGGCAGCAGUGGGGAAUUUUGGACAAUGGGCGCAAGCCUGAUCCAGCAAUGCCGCGUGAGUGAAGAAGGCCUUCGGGUUGUAAAGCUCUUUUGUCAGGGAAGAAACGGCUGAGGAUAAUACCUUUGGCUAAUGGCGGUACCUGAAGAAUAAGCACCGGCUAACUACGUGCCAGCAGCCGCGGUAAUACGUAGGGUGCAAGCGUUAAUCGGAAUUACUGGGCGUAAAGCGUGCGCAGGCGGUUUUGUAAGUCUGACGUGAAAUCCCCGAGCUUAACUUGGGAAUUGCGUUGGAGACUGCAAGGCUAGAGUCUGGCAGAGGGGGGUAGAAUUCCACGUGUAACAGUGAAAUGCGUAGAGAUGUGGAGGAACACCGAUGGCGAAGGCAGCCCCCUGGGUCAAGACUGACGCUCAUGCACGAAAGCGUGGGGAGCAAACGGGAUUAGAUACCCUGGUAGUCCACGCCCUAAACGAUGUCUACUAGUUGUCGGGUUUUAAUUAACUUGGUAACGCAGCUAACGCGUGAAGUAGACCGCCUGGGGAGUACGGUCGCAAGAUUAAAACUCAAAGGAAUUGAC
rnacentral:rRNA from 1 species